rnacentral:rRNA from 1 species
GACGAACGCUGGCGGCGUGCUUAACACAUGCAAGUCGAACGAAGUGGCGAACGGGUGAGUAACGCGUCAUCAACCUGCCCUUCAGAGGGGGACAACAGUUGGAAACGACUGCUAAUACCGCAUACUGAAGUAGGGGAUUGCGUCUGAUUAGCUAGUUGGAGGGGUAACGGCCCACCAAGGCGAUGAUCAGUAGACGGGCUGGGGGGAUGGAAGGCCACAAUGGGACUGGGACACGGGCCAGACCCCUACGGGAGGGAGCAGUGGGGAAACUUCCGAAAUGGACGAAAGUCUGAAGGAGCACCGCCGGGGGGGGGAUGACGGCCUUCGGGUUGUAAAGCUCUGUUAAUCGGGACGCGGUACCGGAAUAGAAAGCCACGGCUAACUACGUGCCAGUAGCCGCGGUAAUUC